AGAGUUUGAUCCUGGCUCAGAUUGAACGCUGGCGGCAUGCCUAACACAUGCAAGUCGCGCGGACGGUAGCAAUACCGUUAGCGGCGGACGGGUGAGGAAUACAUAGGAAUUUGCCUUAGAGCGGGGGAUAGCCCAGGGAAACUUGGAGUAAUACCGCAUGAUGUCGAAAGACCAAAGCUGGGGACCGCAAGGCCUAGCACUCUAAGAGAAGCCUAUGUCUGAUUAGCUAGUUGGUAGGGUAAUGGCCUACCAAGGCGACGAUCAGUAACUGGUCUGAGAGGACGAUCAGUCACACUGGAACUGAGACACGGUCCAGACUCCUACGGGAGGCAGCAGUGGGGAAUAUUGGACAAUGGGCGCAAGCCUGAUCCAGCAAUGCCGCGUGUGUGAAGAAGGCCUUCGGGUUGUAAAGCACUUUAAGCAGGGAAGAAAAAAUUCAAGCUAAUAUCUUGAGUCUUGACGGUACCUGAAGAAUAAGCACCGGCUAACUCUGUGCCAGCAGCCGCGGUAAUACAGAGGGUGCGAGCGUUAAUCGGAUUUACUGGGCGUAAAGCGUGUGUAGGUGGUUGCUCAAGUCGGUUGUGAAAUCCCCGGGCUCAACCUGGGAACUGCUUCCGAGACUGAACGACUAGAGUACGGUAGAGGGCGGUGGAAUUUCCGGUGUAGCGGUGAAAUGCGUAGAUAUCGGAAGGAACACCAAUGGCGAAGGCAGCCGCCUGGGCCUGUACUGACACUGAGACACGAAAGCGUGGGGAUCAAACAGGAUUAGAUACCCUGGUAGUCCACGCCGUAAACGAUGAGAACUUGACGUCGGUUUGCUCUGCAAGUCGGUGUCGUAGCUAACGCGAUAAGUUCUCCGCCUGGGGAGUACGGCCGCAAGGUUGAAACUCAAAGGAAUUGACGGGGGCCCGCACAAGCGGUGGAGUAUGUGGUUUAAUUCGAUGCAACGCGAAGAACCUUACCUGGGCUUGACAUGCUAGGAAUCCUGCAGAGAUGUGGGAGUGCCCGCAAGGGAACCUAGACACAGGUGCUGCAUGGCUGUCGUCAGCUCGUGUCGUGAGAUGUUGGGUUAAGUCCCGCAACGAGCGCAACCCUUGUGACUAGUUGCCAGCGGGUAAUGCCGGGAACUCUAGUCAGACUGCCCAGAUCAACUGGGAGGAAGGUGGGGACGACGUCAGGUCAGUAUGGCCCUUACGCCUUGGGCUGCACACGUACUACAAUGCCCAGUACAAUGAGAACCGAUGCCGCGAGGUGGAGGAAAUCUGUAAAACUGGGCCCAGUUCGGAUUGGAGGCUGCAACUCGCCUCCAUGAAGUUGGAAUCGCUAGUAAUGGCGCAUCAUCUACGGCGCCCUGAAUACGUUCCCGGGUCUUGUACACACCGCCCGUCACAUCAUGGAAGCCGGUCGCACCCGAAGUGCCUGUACCAACCGCAAGGGGGUAGGGUCCUAAGGUGUAGCUGGUAACUGGGAUGAAGUCGUAACAAGGUAACC
rnacentral:rRNA from 1 species